GUUUUCACAGCCUCAGCCCCCCCCCCCCACACACACACACAAACAAAGAGGCGUUAGGCUGAGACGCUGAAAGUCCGGAUUUAAAGUGCAGAAAAUUAAGCCAUUGAAUCUGCCUGUCCAUGACGUACAAAGACACACUAUGAGCCAGUAUGAUCCGACCAGACCUUACAUCAGCAUUGAGGAGUUGUCGGAGAAGAAAGAGGCUGAUUGAAGCGGGACAGAUGACAUGGAUCCAUCCUUCCACAGCCAGGAGCACACCGACCUGUGUCCCACACUUCAUAUAAGACUGGAAGCUACACUGGAUCUCACAGCUACACACCACAGACGUCUACACACUGGAGAAGAUUCAGACAGUCCCACAAAGAAGUCAUGACCCAGAGGCUGCAGAGAAACAUUUCAAGCCUCACCUGAGAUUUUGUACAAUAUUUUUGCUGUAUGUAAAUAAAGCUUUCACUCCACAUA